UUGCCCCACUGUAUAUAUCUGCUCCGUCUUUCCUAAAGAUAGUUCAAUAGGGCUACAACAACAACAGUCUUUCCGUUUAUUCCCUCGGUUCUUUAAGUGUCUAUUUUCCCAUUUAAUGCUUAAAAACGUUGAACAGCAGCUGCACAUGAUGCUCUUUUGACCCCUCUUUUAAUUUUUUAUUUCAGGCUCAAGCUCGGUGUCAUCGUUUUGGCCAGUCUAAGGCGGUGAAGGUGUACCGUCUGAUCACUAGAAACUAUGAGAGGGAAAUGCUGGAUAAAGCUAGUCUGAAGCUCGGGCUGGACCGUGCCGUCCUGCAGAGCAUGAGUGGGAACAAAGAAGGCAACAACAACGGGCCGGUCCAGCAGUUCUCCAAGAAGGAGAUCGAGGACCUCCUGAGGAAAGGAGCCUACGCCGCCAUCAUGGACGAGAACGACGAAGGCAAUCGCUUCUGCUAGGAGGACAUCGACCAGAUCCUGCAGCGAAGAGCCACCAUCAUCACCAUCACCAGGUAUGUUCUUAGCAGCACUAGCCACUUGCGCUUUGUGAGAUACCAAGUACUUGGUUAUUUGAAAUGUAAUAUUGAUGAUGUAAUAAUUAAAA